UCUGAGGGUGGGAGACAGAGGUCCCGUCAGUGCUUCGUCAUCUCCACCCUUCUGUGGCCUUAAGAAACUGGUUCUUGUCUCCCUAGCAUUUUACAGGCCUCUUUGUUCCUGUCUCUAGCCAUUUUUACCUUUUGUUUGUGGGGGAGAAACCAGGGGCAGCCCCUCUCAUAUCCCUCAGGCCCCUGGCUGUUAUGAGGAGUCUUGGAAUCCCACUGUGGCUGUGCCCUGGACUGGCCUGCAGCCUCCACUCCUGUGGGUCCCUUUGGGCAAGUGACAAAGGGCGCUUGGUGCCCCAAACGUGCUGAGGGCCAAACAGGGCAGUAGGGCCACCCCCUCCGCCCUGAGAGCUCACUUCCUGCCAUGGAAGGGAAAAGAGGACGGAUUCUGGGCCUGUGGAGGCCUGGGACCCCCCUGCCGACCUCCUGCGUCGCAGGGCUGACUGCUGUGGAGGGAGGUUUACCUGAGGCUCUGAACACCUUUGGCUGCUCAGAACCUCUCUGGAGACAGAGGCUGCCAAAGAGGAUACCGCAGACGAGAAACAGCAGCAGAAUCAACCAGAGCCCCGGGGACGUGGGCGAGAGACAGAGCAGAGCAGACCACGGAGAGAGGAGGAAGAGCGGUGGGGAGAAAGGUGAAAGGAAAGUGACUAACUGUGCCCAAGACAGAGAAAAACAAAGCAGAAUUGUCCCAACUGGCCCCAGGCUUCUCUCUACUCCUGCCAACUUAACAGCCCUACCAUGUGGCCCCCACAGUAGUGUCCAGGAAGCAUGAGGAGUGCCCCAUCUACCCAGAAAAUAAAGUCCAGCUUCUGUGACUCUGUCCCAUUGUCACCCAGGCUCACUUCCCACCACUCUCUGCUCCUACAAGCCAGUGACAAGACUGGGUGAAAUGAUGGGCCCCACUCACCUGGGCGCCCUUCAUUAAGAGACGAGCUCGGGGGGCCCGGGGCUGUGCGCGGACGGAGCCGCCUCAGUAACGCGUACCGUUCCACAAAGUUCCGGUGAGAGACCCUGGAAGCCAAAAGGGGGAAGAAGAGAAUGAAGCGACUUCAUCCAUGGACACAGUGCUCAGGUACGACGGGAGUAAUUUAUUUAAUCUGCUCAACACCCAGGCCUGGUGCUGCCCUGGCUGCACUGCAUGGCCGAGGCUGUAGCUCUGGAGAGAUUACUCCAAGGGUCUGCUCUUUCUGGGCCCUUUCCUAGAGGGCUUGCUGCCUGCCUCCUUUGAAGGGGCACGCACCCCCCCUCCCCCACUAGACCACUCCUACCUCACACCCCCAGUGCUUGGCUGCGUCUCCACUGUCCUGACCCACAGCCUCCUCCACUUAUCCUGAUUUCUCUAUCCUCUUGACAUUGACAACCUUCUCUAAACAGCUGGUGACAUCUAAUAUCUGCCCUUCCUCUAAGUUUGGCUUCUGUCCACAACACUGCACCAAUGUGGCUCUUGUCACAGCCAUCAGCAUGCCACUCAAGUUACUGUUGCUAGUUUCCUGUCAUCCCCCUCUCGGAAUGUGAGCAUUCCUCAGGGCAUGGCCCUGACCCCUUCUAUCCUCGCUGAGGUUUCCUCCUUGUUUGUGGUGUUGAGACCCUCCAGUUCUUAGAUCUCUGCCGAGCCCGGGCCUGUCUCACAGCCAUUUCAAACCUGACUCUCCCACCCUGCAACCUAUGCCUUCCUCAAACCAUCUCGCCUCCAGGAAUUAUCCCCCAUCCACCCAUCUGCCUCAGAGAGAAGCCUGGAAGUUGACUUCCCUGCCUAAUACCCACCGUCAACCAGUCCACAGUCCUCUUUCUAUCACAAGCCGCACCAAUUUUACCCACUUCUCUCCAGUGUUCACUGCUGCCACCCUCAUCGGGGACGUCAUCUCACCUGUCCGCCUGCAACAGCCUCUCACUCCUCUCCUCUCCUCUCUCUGACCCUAUGUCCAAACUCCACGUGGCAGCCAUGGGAGCACAGCUCUCCCUCAGAAUGCCCAGCAGCUUCCAUAGCACCCAGGACAGACUGUGAAUCCCUCAGGCCUGGCACCCAUCCCUCCCUCCUCUCUUCUCAGUUCUCCAUGCUCCAGUCACUUAAGCACCUCUUAACCUGCCUAACCUGUCCCUAGUCUGGAAUGCUCUCCUCCCCAAAUCUUCCCAUAGGACCCCUCCUGGACCAGCCCAAGGAUACCCUUUCCCAUUAGUCUACCUAAUAACAUUUUUUUCUUCCCUAGCAUUAACUUUAUACUUUUUGUUCUUCCCCAAGAGGGCAGACUCAGACUUCCUUAUUCACUGGUAUAUACUAGAAACAGUGCUAGCACAAUAUCGUGCACAGAAAGUGAACGGGUAAAUGACAAGCACAGUCCCUUGAGUUGAGGUUGACACCUGUAGGCCUGCCCUUUCUCUUCAUCUCCACAUCUGGCUCUUGGCCGGGCAGGCUCUUGUUGGGCCCGAGUCCCGAGCUCUACCCUGACGUUGGUCCUGCCCCUGCAGUGCUGGGCCCACUCACCGGAUGGGGAAGCCGGCGGCACUGAUGUGGAUGGUCUCCACGAGGCCACAGGCCUCCAGCUGGCUCAGGACCUGCAGGGGUGGAGAGACCGCGUGGGGCCGGCAGGCCAGAGACCCUGCCAGCGUGGAGUGGACUGCAGGGCCUCCUGAGGGUCCACGGAUGGAGGUGUACACUCUGGGGCUGGGGCAGUGAGAAAUUAAGAAAUAUCUCCCUGCUAGAAGGCUCCCGGCAGCCCCAGGUCCCCUAUGUGGUGCAUGGCUUCUGGCCCAGCGGAGGCAGCUGCUGGCGGGGCUCUUACCAUCCCCGCAGUGCAGAUGCGCUCUGCCUCUUUUGCUUUGUUUUAUUUUUGGCUAGGCAAUUAAGUGAGUCACAGCUGCGGGGCAUGGGAGGUGGUUUUAUGUGAAGAGCCUCCUGGAACCUGCACCAUGGUCUUGACCACAGAACAGAGUGGUCCUGGCUAUAAGCCCUAAGGUCACAUCUACCAGUUGACUGGGAUACUCCAGCAUCGCCCAGUACUCACACCUCAUCCACAUCCUGUGGAGCCCGGUACCCUGAGCAAAGAACAAUUGCUGGCCCUUUUUAUGCAAAUUAAAAAAAAAACUAGAAUGUAAGGUGAGACAAACUUUCAGCUAAUUACAAGAGACAGCCAUUCUUCUGGGGCUCCAGUCUCAUCAGGGCAGAGCUCAGUGAGGAGAGAGCAAGAGGCACCUGAGCCCUCCUUCCUUCCUUAGGUCACUGCAGUGCAGACCACACAACCAUACAUGCCUGCCCUCCCAGCUCUGGGGAGACAAGCCCCCCUAAAGUCAGGCCCAGCCUGAGAGACGCCCUCUGGUCACUGCACUCGGAGCAGAUGUCCUGCCCUUCACCCCUCCAGGGCCUUUGCCAGAUAGGGCUCUCUGCGAAGCAGCUUUGUUUCAGUGUGAAUUACCUCCUCCCGGAGGAAGGUCUGUGCCUGGCCCUUGCUGUUGGGCUUGAUGCAGCGAAUGUAGUGGGGCGUGGUGCUGUGCAGAACCUGCAGGAGCUGCUCCAGGGAGGCCUGCAGAGGGGAGAGCACGUCAGUCAGGCAGAGGAUGGAGCUGCUGGGGGCAUCAGCUGGGCCUGGUUAGAGACUGCAUCAAACACCUCCAGCCCCAAGACCAGGACUUCAUGUGCCCUGGGAUGACUACUGUAGGCUCUUACUGUGUCCAAGCACACCCGUCCCUAACGUCCCACUGCUCCUCACUCUGCCUCCAGGGACCUUUCUUGAACUGUGACCCUCCAACUGGUUGGUCUCUGCAUCUGGUCUCAGGGUUCCCCACUCCCCACAAUCUUCCUAGAAGAGAGCAAUCUCAGAACCCCCAGCCAUUCACUCAGGAAAUAGCUGUUAGUAAACCAAAGUCUGUCCCGUGUGCAGGAAACUGAAGAGCUAUGACAGGCAGUCUGCUGCUGUCUCAGAGCCGGCCUAACGAGGCACAGGCACUGGACAGGCACCCUCAGUAGUGUCUGAGGCCGGACAGGAAAGCUCUUCAAACCUGGGCUCCCCGGGUGCCUUCUCAAGGAGAUGAUCAUAAUGCAGAACUUUGAAGGAUGAGAAGGAAUAAACUAAAAAGACAUGGAGGGGGGAAGGGGGGGGGAAGAAAGGGGUAGGGAGAGGAGCAGAGUGUGGUGAGAGACAGUAGAAAGUAUAAGAUACGGGAGGAGUCAAACCCGCUCUGGCCAAGGACAAAGUCUGAGCAGGAAGCUGGAGAACUGGGAAUGGGCCAGGUCACGGGUGCAGGUAACUAUUGCUCUUCCACAGCCCCCCAUAAGCAGUGGGUGAGAGACCCCUGCACCACCCACAGGCCCCUGGGCUUCCCAUCAUGGCAGUUAUGCUAAGUCUGUGUGUCUGUCUCCUGUCUCUGUCUUCACACAGGACUGUCCACUCGGUGUGAACCCAGACCACGUCUUAACUCAUCAAUGUUCUCCAGUAAACAAUCCUGGGAAGUGCUUGGCAAACAUCUGAGACUGAGGAGUGACCCAAACAUGUCACGUCAGCACCACCAGACCCACCUUGAACUUGGACACCACGGUCAACACUGGGGUCCUGCUCUUGCCAGAAGGCUCCUCCUGGGACUUCUCUUCUGGGUCAGUAGGGAACAACACCUUGAGCAGGGGGUCCUGGGAUUGCUGCAGGAGCCUGGUCAGCUCAGGGGGCACAGGGUCCUAUUGGGAGAGGACGAGAGCAGUGGGUGAGGGCAGGUGGUGUGCUACUCAGGGCUGUCCACAGGCCUGCCAGCCUGCUCACCCAGGCCCCAGAGGAGGGAGUUCCAGGGCAGGACAGGCCCUGAGUCCGGGAGACAAGCUGGUCGCCUAUGAACCAGUAACCCAGUGUGACAUGGGUCAUUUCUGGGCAGGACGUGCCUGAUUAGCAGACCUCAGGCAGAUGGCCCAAGAGGUGACCUGGGUUCUGGGAAGAUAUUCAGGAGGGAGAUGCACCACAGGAAGCUGCGUGUAUGGGCAGCAAUGACUCAGCGUGCCGUUUACCCCGGUCCUCAGGGGCCGUGGCCCAGCCUCACCUUGUUCUUCUCCACCAGGCCUGCGGUGUGGUACCGCACAGGCCCCGCGUAAUGCACCACAAUGAAGCUGGGCUCCCGGCUGAGCUUGUCGCGGCCCAGGCAGGGGCUGCCUGCCAGGGCACUUUCAAUGCGUGUCUGGAGCUGGGCUGCACUGCUCGGCCGGUUAAGGCGGCAUUCCUGUGUGGGGCGGGAUAAACAGUCGGCCACAAAAGUGAGAGGGCUCCCCACACCCUCACAGUCUCCACCCCGUCGUCCCCACGGUAGCAGAGUUGUCACAUAGGCAGUACCGUGACCCUGAGUGAAGGAGUAUGGGAAUCAGGAAACCCAUUUGGCAGAUGGGGAGACAGAGGCACAGAAAGGCAUGGAUGAGUCUUCAAGGCAUCAGAAAAGCCCAAAGCCCACCUCUGCUGCUCAGCACACUACUGACACUCCCACCUCGUUUAGGAGGGAGCAGAUGCUGAUGGGGCUCCCCUCGAUGAGGUCCAAACAGGUCUGGUUGUCCUGGUAGUUGACAAAUGACCACUCCAGGCCCUCCAGUGCGUAUUCCUCCUAGAGGGCAAGGUGAGGGGGCAGGAGGCAGCUAAGGGCUGAGGCCCAGAAGGCCAUCCUAUGGCUGGCCUCAGCAACACCAGCUGUUCCAGCAUGGCAUCAAAGGAGGCAUUAAAGGCUAGGUCCUGGGGGCCAGGAAGAGAGAGGAUCCCCUACCCUGCCACACGCUCACCUGCUGAGCUCUUAGGUAGUGAGCCACAAAGUGCUGUUGCAGCUUCUCAUUGGCAUAGUUGAUGCACAGCUGUUCCAGACUGUUGUCAGGAAAUGACUCAAAGCCGUACACAUCCAGCAGGCCUGGGGGGGGGGGGGGAGCGGCAGGGAGGGCGCGGGUUAGGGGAGAACCCAUGGGGUCACUGCAGAGGCUCAGGGUGAAGCUUCAUCUGGGGAUGAGGCUGAGUGAGCAUGACACCCGCAGUGGGCAGAGCACCAUACCCCACCCCAGGGUGCCCAUCUGUACCUCAAGCCCCGUUAGAAUUCACAGCAGGAAGAAAGACUGAAUGUGUGUGGGGGCAACCCAGGGCACCAGGGUGAGCUUGUCGUGGCUGAAGCCUUAGGUCCUGGUCAGCCCCUUCUUGAGGGCACCAGGUCCCAGGGAACGUUUUCUGCAUCCAGCCCAGUUUGGAGGGGCUGGGCCUCACUAGCCCAGUUGGUGUCCAGAAUUCCACAUUCUGUGAACAAACUCACGGGUGCCUCUGAGCUUUACUGCCUCCCCAACCUGAUAUUCUCUACCCAGGUUCCAACACGGUUAUCUUUCACUCAUCCCACUACGCUCACAGACAAGCGCCAUCUGAGUCUGCCUGGUGAGCUUGGGACGAGUCAGAUGUGAGCCGGUGAGUACAGAGAUGUCCUUGCCCAAACGCUGGUGGGCAGAUGAGGAGAGGGGGAGGCAGGAGAAGGAAAGGAGCUACCAGAGUUAGCACAGUGGGCCCGGAGCGGCCCUGGUCCUUUUUAGAAGGGGGGUUCCUGGCGGGGGCCCAUGCUACCUAUGAAAGUGGUCCAGGAGUCGGGGGCCGCAUAGAUGCUGCUGUUGAUCACCGAUACCAGCCAGUCGAACAGCCUAUUGGGGUUGGGGAAGAGGAGACUCUGGUGAGAGAGGGUCAAGAUGAGUUUGAGGGGUGACAGAGCUGCUCCUCCAGCCAGGGUGCCACACCCAGGAGGGCCAAGCUGCCAUAAACACAUGCACACGCACAUAUACGUGUUCCGUCCACUAAUUUCAAAGGUGCCACUUGACACCCUUACAUGGCAUCAUGAAGGUUCUCAGAACCCAGGGUGAGAAAGCACCCAUAACCACAUGGCCAGAGGGUGGACAUGCCCAUAUAACCCACUAAGAAAGGCCAAGACCUCACCCUUCCCUGUUCUGGGCUCCCCUUGCUGCUUGCUGGGUUGCCCUGCACUUUGGUCUGAGGUUCUGGCUCUACCAUCAUCUAUCAUAUUCCCCAGGUGCCUACAAAGAGCUGAAACACAAGGACACAUGGGUCUGCACCUGGAACUCUGAGGACCCCAGAUCACCAUGGCGGCCUGCAUUGCCAGCGGAGAGGUAGGCAGGCUCUCCUCACCAAUCACCAAAGCUGUGCCAAUUUCCCCAUGCAGAGCACCCUGAAUGAGGCCGAGGGCCUUGCUUGGGGGAGUCCCAGGAGCGACUCCCUGCUGUCCCCAAGGCUCUGGGGAGCAGGGACGGGAACUAUCUGCUGUGUCUGGCAGCCCUCACCCUGGGCCUGGGGCUGUUGCAUGGCAGUGUCUGGUUCAACUCCAAAGAGGGGAGAACCUGGAGGCAGCAGGGGCCCAGAGUGCUCACCGUGCGUAGAUCAGUUUGGCCAGACAGUCUCUGCGGGUGUCGCACUCGGCGAGGGAGCAGGGCUUCCGGAACACCUGCUGCUGCCUGCCCGCCCUGAUGGUCCUGAUGCGCAGCGUCUCCAGCAGCGGGUCCUCUGGGAGCCAGAGCAGCGAGGCCGAUGUUCUGACAGAGCCUGAGAGGGACAAACCUUCCGUCCACACAGCCCCCUUCACAAGGCAGUGAAGUCACCCACCCAGAUGAACGCAGCAGCCUUGCUGCUAGGCGGAGAGACCUGCCGAAGGCAGAGGCAGGACAUGAACCCAGGUCUUCCGUGUCCCAGUCCACAUUGCCACGUGUGGGACAAAUUAUAAACCCUCCUACUCUUGUUUGCUCCUGUGUAAAAUGGGGACAAUGCUGCCUGCUUCAGAGAUGGGGUAAGGAGUAACUUAUCCAAGGCAGGACGCUACAGCUGAUGUUUAAUCAAGGGCAUCGAUUCCAAAUUUCACCUUCUGGCCUCCUACCCAAUCCCACCGGUGCUGGCUCUUUUCUGGGCAGGACCAGCCCUGCUCCCUGGGUCUGUGACCAAAGCCUGAGGCACAGCCCCUGCUACCCUUGCUCUCACCCCUGGCAUCGUCCAUCAGCUGGCAGGGCUGGGCUUCAUCCUCACAGUCAGCAAACCGGACGUUGCCGAGGUGCAGCAGUCCAGCCAGGACCUGAGGGGCAGGAGAAAGGAGACACGCAGGGGGCACCUUGUAAGGGCUGGAGUCCAGCCUGGAAGGCUUCUCUUCCGCUAAAUAUAAUCACAACAGAAGAAGAAUAGCAGCUCCCAGCUACUGCCCAUUUGCUGCAGGACUCUGAGAGACGUUACAUGCAUCAUCUUGGUUAAUCUUUUUUUUUUU